UACGUAGGGGGCAAGCGUUGUCCGGAUUUAUUGGGCGUAAAGAGCGUGUAGGCGGCUGGGUAGGUCCGUUGUGAAAACUCGAGGCUCAACCUCGAGACGCCGAUGGAAACCAUCCAGCUAGAGUCCGGAAGAGGAGAGUGGAAUUCCUGGUGUAGCGGUGAAAUGCGCAGAUAUCAGGAGGAACACCAAUGGCGAAGGCAGCACUCUGGGACGUGACUGACGCUGAGACGCGAAAGCGUGGGGAGCAAACAGG
rnacentral:rRNA from 1 species